rnacentral:rRNA from 1 species
AUUGAACGCUGGCGGCAGGCUUAACACAUGCAAGUCGAGCGGGGGAAGGUAGCUUGCUACUGGACCUAGCGGCGGACGGGUGAGUAAUGCUUAGGAAUCUGCCUAUUAGUGGGGGACAACAUCUCGAAAGGGAUGCUAAUACCGCAUACGUCCUACGGGAGAAAGCAGGGGAUCUUCGGACCUUGCGCUAAUAGAUGAGCCUAAGUCGGAUUAGCUAGUUGGUGGGGUAAAGGCCUACCAAGGCGACGAUCUGUAGCGGGUCUGAGAGGAUGAUCCGCCACACUGGGACUGAGACACGGCCCAGACUCCUACGGGAGGCAGCAGUGGGGAAUAUUGGACAAUGGGGGGAACCCUGAUCCAGCCAUGCCGCGUGUGUGAAGAAGGCCUUAUGGUUGUAAAGCACUUUAAGCGAGGAGGAGGCUACUUUAGUUAAUACCUAGAGUAGUGGACGUUACUCGCAGAAUAAGCACCGGCUAACU